rnacentral:rRNA from 1 species
GAUGAACGCUGGCGGCGUGCUUAACACAUGCCAGUCGAACGGAAAGGCCCAAGCUUGCUUGGGUACUCGAGUGGCGAACGGGUGAGUAACACGUGGGUGAUCUGCCCUGCACUUCGGGAUAAGCCUGGGAAACUGGGUCUAAUACCGGAUAGGACCACUUCUUGGAUGUUGUGGUGGAAAGUUUUUUCGGUGUGGGAUGAGCUCGCGGCCUAUCAGCUUGUUGGUGGGGUAAUGGCCUACCAAGGCGUCGACGGGUAGCCGGCCUGAGAGGGUGUACGGCCACAUUGGGACUGAGAUACGGCCCAGACGCCUACGGGAGGCAGCAGUGGGGAAUAUUGCACAAUGGGCGCAAGCCUGAUGCAGCGACGCCGCGUGGGGGAUGACGGCCUUCGGGUUGUAAACUCCUUUUGCUAGGGACGAAGCGUUUUGUGACGGUACCUGGAGAAGAAGCACCGGCUAACUACGUG